UUUGUGAAGAGUUUGAUCCUGGCUCAGGAUGAACGCUGGCGGCGUGCCUAAUACAUGCAAGUCGAGCGGUAAGGCUUUACACAGAUUUUUUGACAGCCAAGCACAGGUCUUUGAAUUUUCUAUAAGAAAAUUCAAAAUCGUUCAACGAAAGAAGAACGUCUGUGUCUACGAAACUUUAUUUUUAGUAGAGAUGGCUAGUCGAAAGAUGUGUGUAAAGUACACGAGCGGCGGACGGCUGAGUAAUGCAUAGGAACGUACCCCAAACUGAGGGAUAAGCUCUGGAAACAGAGUCUAAUACCGCAUGUGCUCUUCGGAGUAAAGCUACGGCGGUUUGGGAGCGGCCUAUGUCCGAUUAGCUUGUUGGUGAGGUAAUAGCUCACCAAGGCGACGAUCGGUAGCGGGUCUGAGAGGAUGAUCCGCCAGACUGGAACUGAGACACGGUCCAGACUCCUACGGGAGGCAGCAGUAGGGAAUUUUCCACAAUGGGGGCAACCCUGAUGGAGCAACGCCGCGUGCAGGAUGAAGGCCUUCGGGUUGUAAACUGCUUUUUUCUGUGAUGAUUAUGACAGUAGCAGACGAAUAAGGAUCGGCUAACUCCGUGCCAGCAGCCGCGGUCAUACGGAGGAUCCAAGCGUUAUCCGGAAUUACUGGGCGUAAAGAGUUGCGUAGGCGGUCUAUAAAGCAAGGCAUGAAAUAGUGUGGCUCAACCAUACUGCUAUGUUUUGAACUGAUAGACUAGAGGAUGAGAGAGGUUAUUGGAAUUCCCAGUGUAGGAGUGAAAUCCGUAGAUAUUGGGAGGAACACCGAUGGCGUAGGCAGAUAACUGGCUCAUUCCUGACGCUAAGGCACGAAAGCGUGGGGAGCAAACGGGAUUAGAUACCCCGGUAGUCCACGCUGUAAACGAUGGAUGCUAGCUGUACACCGUAUCGACCCGGUGUGUAGCGAAGCUAACGCGUUAAGCAUCCCGCCUGUGGAGUACGAGCGCAAGCUUAAAACAUAAAGGAAUUGACGGGGACCCGCACAAGCGGUGGAGCGUGUUGUUUAAUUCGAUGGUAAACGAAGAACCUUACCAAGGCUUGAAAUCCCGAUAGCCAAACUUCGAAAGAAGUUUUUCAUUCAGUUGGAUCGGUGACAGGUGUUGCA
rnacentral:rRNA from 1 species